GGGUUGAGGUUGGAUUUAUAAAUAUUUUAUGAAUAUUAAAAAAAUUAGCUUAGUGUUAUUUUAUCACAAAUUUAAAGUAUUUGUGAAAAUAAUCAUUCAUUAAUGGUAAAUUUGAAAAAAGGUAUUAAACUUAUGGUAGAUUUGAAAAUUUUCCAUGCUGUCAAAAAAAAAAAAAAAAAAAAAAUUCUCCAUUUAUUAGCGCUAAUUAAGUUUAAAGAUGAACCUCUGUUUCUUUUGCACUGAAAGCCAAUAUUUUGUGAAGCUAAAUGAUACCAUGAUCGUCGACAAAAAAAAUGAUACCAUGAUCUAGCCAUUAUGUCAGAAAUCUUGUUGCUUGUUAAAGAUCUCGUAUGGUUUGAUUAUGAUUUCUGGCAUCUAUAUUAUGUAGCAAACCUUAUUUAUAUAUAAAGUUCAGCUACAUAGAAUUUUUUAUUGCUUGGUAAAUUAAAGGUUAUUUGAUCAAACAAAAAAUUAUAAUUAAUAAUCUACAAAAGAAAAGUUAAUUUGUGCAGAAAACUAGAACGAUUUGAGUUUUUCUGCUAAAUUUGUAAAUGUCCAUAAUACUA
rnacentral:lncRNA from 1 species